GCUCAGAGCCAGGGUCUCUGCUGGGGUCAGCGUCUGUACGCUAAAGCCAGGGCGCAAAGUGCGUGGGCACUGCGGACACUAGAGGCUUAUGGCGCUGGAAAUACAAGGCCGAGUUGCCGGCGCAAAGAGUUCCCCGGGCGGGUUGGUGAUGCGGCGCGCUUUGAUAACAGGUUAAUCCGGCCAACAUUCGCUCCGCGAGAGAGCCAUCGGAGGGCUCCGGGAGACUGCGGCGCCACGGAGGGAGAGGCGGCGAGAGGCCCCUCUGCGAGCACCCUCUGGGCGCAGUGCGGUGGGCUAUGCUCUGCGCAGCCCCGGGCGCGCCUGGGUUCUCAGAGCCCAAGACCUGAGCCGCUCCGAGCGCAGGGCGCCAGUUCUCUUUCAGAAGCGGGAGAAGUUCAGGUGCCCAACACCUUGAUCAGUGCCUGCUUUGUAGUAGGCAUUCAAAUACUGUGGACUGGAUGAAUGGAGUCACUUCCCUUCCAACCUGCACACCAACGUGGUUGAACUGCCUCCUUUCUAAGUGCCAAAGUCUGUUUUACAAGGCUGCCCUGCUGUGCCCAUCUGGGCACCCAGUCCAGCCUCCCUUCCUGGGCGCCUUGACUCCCAACUGCAGAUGAAGUGUCUGGAAAUCAUGGUACUCAAGGUAGGAUCCACAUUGCCUGCCGGCCUAGGACCAAGAUCUGCAAGUCAGAACGAAACACCAGCUGUCCCUGUCUCCUGCACCCAUCCCCAUCCCGGAUAUCAAAGGAGCAUUACAAAAUAUUGUCUAACAGAAGUACCAGGGCUGGAUCCCAAAGUUUUGUGUAGAUCUUGAUAAAGAGUUUGGAUUUUAUUCUAACAAGAGUGAAGAGCAUGACAAUGUUUGCAGAAGAGUGAUGGCUUCUUUCAGGCAACAGUGACAAUUACACCUCCUCUUUUUCUCUUUGAUCCUCCACCCUCUCCCUCCAGCACCUGGUACAAAGCUGGGUACCCAGCAGACACUCUGUAAAUUAAAGUGCUGCCAGCCUGAACAAUCUCAGUGGAAGAGCUAAGUGGGUCCAUUUCCUUGCUUUACAAAUGAAGUCGCUGAGGCUCAGAGGGGUUAAGUUCUUUUCCUGAGCUAGGUAAUAUCUGGUUAAGUAAGAUCUGAUAAGUGUGUGUGUGUGUGUGUGUGUGUGUGUGUGUGUGUGUGUGUGUGUGUCUGUGUGCUUGGACAGGGGGUGCUUCCGCCUUUCACUGCCCCAAUAGGAGUCAGUCCUGUUCCUUUUCACUUCUCUACUUGAUGCUCUACCCACCGGCCUCAGGCCAUAUGCCCUGGUCCACCCUGCUCACAGAACUUCCCGCCUGGCCCCUGUUACCUGACCGAUGCCACAGGCAUCACUGGGUCCCAGGAGCCAGCCUCUUUACUUUUGGACCCCAGGCCAGGAUCUAAAAAUAUCUCUGAGUAUUUCCAACACCUACAACAGAUGCGCCUGCAAAUUACCUGGUCCCAGUGGUGGGGAGCAGGGGAGGAAAGGGCAUCGUUGUUCUAAAAGCAUUACACAUUUAAUUUGCAAAGUUACAUCAUGCAUUUGUGCACAGGUCAACUUUCUAGGAGUCGAUUUCGAAAACAGAGACAGGUUGAGGAUCCUGAGGGUGUUCUUUGCAGAGAAGGCAGGGGAGGUUGUGGAGGCCUGUCAGAUGCUUUCACACACUCAAGGCCAGUACUCCUCUUCCCUCUCAUAGAUGAGAAAUGAUGGACAUUCAUGGGGUCCUUUCUCUGCGUGUGCCAGGUACCUCUGCAGACACCAUUAUAUUUCUUUCUGAGAUCAACCUUGCAGAGUGUGCCUUGGUGUCAUCCUCAUCUUACAGGUGUGGAAGCUGAGGCCUAAUGAGGCCAUGUGUCUUCCGUUCCCCUUAUACACCAUGGGACAUGGGGCAGAGCAUAAGCUUGAACCCCGGUCUCUAGGUUUUUUUCUACCACACAGUGCAGUGAGAGACAUGAAGGGGGUUGAUGUGUAUGGAAUACAUAUACAUGCGCAUCCAGCUAUACUUUUAAAAAAAUUAUUAUUGGAUGGGUCUGGGUUCUCUAUUUUAUAAGUGACACAUACAACUAUUGAACCCAUGUGAGAUUAUAGCCAGGAGUGCAUAAAAAACUGUCCUCAGAACAAGUUGAAUGGGAAGUUGGUAAAAACGAAUAAGGUUGAGUUCACUCCACAGCCCCACAGAUGCAACUGAUUUAAUUGACCAAAUAGUUUUCUUGAAUUACUGUUGUUAAUUUAAGAGUUUAAAAAAAUUAACUUGAGAGUAGUUUUGUGUGCUAACCGGAUGAUUUAGAAGGUUAUUUGGUUGAUAAAAUGAAUCCUUGAUACAUUAUAGUUAUAAAGUUAAAACCCUAUUCCUUACUUAUGCUUCUAA
rnacentral:lncRNA from 1 species